GACGAACGCUGGCGGCGUGCUUAACACAUGCAAGUCGAACGGAAAGGCCCUGCUUUUGUGGGGUGCUCGAGUGGCGAACGGGUGAGUAACACGUGAGUAACCUGCCCCUGACUUUGGGAUAACUUCAGGAAACUGGGUCUAAUACCGGAUAGGAGCUCCUGCUGCAUGGUGGGGGUUGGUAAGUUUCGGCGGUUGGGGAUGGACUCGCGGCUUAUCAGCUUGUUGGUGGGGUAGUGGCUUACCAAGGCUUUGACGGGUAGCCGGCCUGAGAGGGUGACCGGCCCCAUUGGGACUGAGAUACGGCCCAGACUCCUACGGGAGGCAGCAGUGGGGAAUAUUGCACAAUGGGCGGAAGCCUGAUGCAGCAACGCCGCGUGCGGGAUGACGGCCUGCGGGUUGUAAACCGCUUUCGCCUGUGACGAAGCGUGAGUGACGGUAAUGGGUAAAGAAGCACCGGCUAACUACGUG
rnacentral:rRNA from 1 species